CACACACACACACACACACACACACACACAGUCAGACACUCACAAUCUAUUGGGCACAGUAGAGAACACCUAUAAUCUCAAACUCCUAAACCUGAAAGCCUGAGUUUUCCAGACUUUUAGCUCUCUGCCCCAUCCCCACCCAAGUCUUCUGUGUCCAGAUCGCACCCAACCACUCCUCCCGCAGUGACUCCUGAGAACCUUUCUUUGCUCAUGCUGUGUCCAUAAUGGGUCGUCUGGGGCUUGGCUCCAACCUUUGCGUCUUUUAAUUUGAUUUUUGUAUUUUAUUUUAUGUGUGUGACUGUAGUAAUCAGGGCUCUCUAGAACAGUGAUUCUCAACCUGAAGGUUACAACCUCUUUCGGAGUUGAACCAUCCUUUCACAGGGGUCCCCCUAAGACCAUCGGAAAACCCAGGUAUUUACAUUACAAUCUGUGACAGUGGUAAAGUUAUAGGUAUGAAGUAGAAACAAAAAAUAAUGUUAUGGUUGGGGGUCACCACAACAUGAGGAACUGUAUUCGAGGGUUGCAGCGUUAGGAAGGUUGAGAAACCACGGCCCUAGAGGAACAGAACUGAUAGAAUGAAUCUGUAUUAAAAAGGGAUUUACUAGAGUGGCUUAUAGCCUGUGGUCUCCGUAGUCCAACAAUGGCGUCUUCCAGCGGAAAGUCCGAGGAUUUGGGAGCUCUUCAGUCCAGGAGACGGGAUGUCUCAGCUGGAGCCCCAGGGGAUUCCUAGAGAGCUUCUGGUCUUCAGUCUGCACUGGGAUCCCGAAGAAGUCGGCUCUAAUGUGAGGGAAGGAAGGCCUCCGCAGCAGGGUAGAUGAACUUGCCAGUGAGAGUGAGGGCAGGCAGGCAAAGAGCAACAGCUUCCUCCAUGUCCUUUCAUGUGGGCCGCCACCAAAAGACGUGGCCCAGUUUUAGGGUGGGGCUUCUCACCUCAAAACAAUCCAGUCAAGAAAAUCCUUCAGAGGGGUACCCAGUCACUUGGAUUUUAGUUGAUUCACCAAGACCAGCCAUCCCAGCCCGAACCUGGUGUGUGUGCAUACCUAGUAUCCACACAGGCCGAAAGAGGGGUCAGAUCCUCGGGAACUGGAGUUAUAGACAGUUGUGAGCUGCCAUGUGGGUGCUGGGAGUUGAACCUGGGUCCUCUGGAAGAGCAAACAGUGCUCUUAAUCACUGAGCCAUCUCUCUAACCACUAAGUUUUUCUCUUAAAGUAUGUGUAUGUAUGUAUGUAUAUGUGGUGUGUGUGUGUGUGUGUGUGUGUGUAUGUAUGUGUAUGUGGUAUGUGCGUGUGUCUGUGUGUAUGUCUGUGUGUGUAUGUGUGUGUGUGUGUGUGUGUAUAUAUAUAUAUAUAGUGUGUGUGUGUGUGUAAGCGUGUGUAAGCCAGAGGAGGAUGUCGGGUUUCCAACUUUGUUCCCCUCAGUUACCUGCCAGUGAACCUGGAUCUGGACAUUUUUCAGGCAGGUUGGCUGGCCAGCAAGCCCAGGUGAUCCUCCUGUCUCAGCAUCCCUCUCCUUAGGCCUGCCUGCACAUGUGGCCACCCCAGGUUUUACAUGGAUACUGCGGAUCUGAAUGCAGGCCCGGCAUCCCUCUUACCCAUGGGGCCAUCCUCUGAUCUCCACGAAGCAUCCACUUCCCUUUACAGAAAUGUUUGUUUUCUUUUCCGAUCAUAUCAAUCUGUCACCUACAAUUGCGUGAUUAGCGACUGAUAACUACGUCGAUUCAGCUGACUGGUAAACGAAAAGUCACAUCUGAAACCAGCAGCUGGUCCUUCGGCUCCUGUGGGCAUCGCAUGUCACUCUGAAACUUACAGUAGACAAGAAGGGUGUCCCUUGAUCUCGUGAUCCAGUAAAUUCUUUUGUUUUUUGUUUUGUUUUUCCAAAUCUCAUUACAGAUGGUUGUAAGCCACCAUGUGGGUGCUGGGAAUUGAACUCAGGACCUCUUGAAGAGCAAUCGGUGCUCUUAACCUCUGAGCCAUCUCUCCAGGCCCCAGUGAGCUCUUUUGGUUGAUGUUUGGUUUUUGAUUUACGUGGAUUCAUUUGCGUAUGUAUACGUGUGUGUAGACACACAUGCCGCAGUGUGCGUUUGGAGGUCAGUUCUCCAGCGUGGGUCCCAGAGUCUAACUGAGGUCUCCAGGAUUUGCAGCAACUGUCUUGCCGGCCCUUGGCUUGUGUUUUGGAGACAGGGUCUCCGGUAGCCUGAAGUACCAUAAAAAUCUCUAUGUAUCUGAGGCUAAGGUCCUCCUGCUUCCUGCCUCCCUCCCAAGUACCGGCGUUACACACACACACACACACACACACACACACACACACACACACACACGUGGGCACGCACACCAUCAUGCUCAGCUCUUGCAGUGAUUUCUUACUUGAACUGAGUUGGUUAGUCCAGCAAACUUCUGCUAUACAAGCACAAACAAGCCUUUGCCAUGGAUAGUUGGGGUGACCAGAGCUAGCUAACUGUUUGCCCGCCCUCCCUCCCUCCCUUCCGUCCCUCCUUCUCCUCGUCUUUCCCUUUCAGUGUUAGGAAUUGGACCCAGGCCCUCACACAUAACAUGCAAACACUCUCCCACUGAGCCAUCCUCUCCAGCCCUCUUUUCAUAUUUUCUGUUGAGACAGGGGAUCUCUAGUUUGCCCAGGCUGGCCUUGAACUCUCCAUUAUCAUGCUUCAGCCUUCCAAGUAGCUGAGCUCGCAGAACUGAGCUGCUGUGCCCGGCUGUCCUUCUCUUACCUAGGUUUUCAGUCCCGAGACACAAAUGCUCCUCCUGUCUCAGGCUCCCGAGAACCUAGGACCGCAGAACACAUGCCGUUGCUCUGGCUUCUGCUGUUCUUAUCCUUCAUUUAUGUCUUCUACGUUUUUUAUUUAUUUUUAUUUUUGUGGUUUAUGUUGUUUUUAUUUGCUUUGAGUCAGGGCCUCCUGCAGCCCAGGCUAGCCUCAAACUCAUUAUGUCCCCGAAGUUGGCCUUGAUUCCUGGUCUUCCUGCCUCCACCUUCCAAGUGCUGAGAUUAUAUAUCGGGAGUGCCAGCACACUCUGCUUACAGCUUCUGGAUUUUGUUUUCACACCUUUAAAGUGGGUAGGAGUUUUGCUUCAUGCUAGGGGUAGGGGUGGGGACAUGCGCUCUACUGACUGAGCUGGGCCCCUAGAAAUUUGUUGUUGUUGUUUUUCUCCUUCUAACUUUUCUUUUUCAAGACUUUAAGAGGACAGGAUUCCAUAAGCUGAACGCUAAAAGAAUGAUAACAAACUUCAAAUUCCAGCAGUCCAGCCUUUUGUAACGGGCUGGGCAUGACACAACGUGCCUAAUUGAGAUAAUGACAGUGGGGGAAAUCUUGGUGUCAGGAAGUUCUCAGUAUGCCAUGGACCAGCCACAGCAGCAUGACCUGGGAGUUGGUGAGAAAUGUAAAGUCGGGGGCUCCACCCCAAGGCCCGCUUCCCCGGAUACUGAGGGAGGAGGGGCGGGGGAGCCCAGCGGUGUGUGUUCCGACAAGCCCUCUGAGCAUGCUGGAGCGCCCUCAAGUUAGCAGAUGUUCACAUCACAGGCCUGUGCACCACUCAGAGGCUGUGUGAUCUCAGACAGGUCAUUGCGUCCCUCUAAACAUAAGUGACGACAAACCUACAUGACGGAGUCACUGUGGAGGUUGAGAAAGAUGGUCCACGCAGAGUGAAUGCAUCCAGCGGGCACCCACUACAUGCUAGGGAUGUUUACUAACCCCGGGAGCUCUGUACCGGCAGCCGAAUUUGGGCAGCAAACAUUUGGAAAAAAAGCAGAAAGAUAUUAGAAAGUUAACAUCUUCCUGAGUGAGCAUGUUGACCUCAUAAAUGUGCCCAAGUAGAAGUCCCUGCAGUAUAACCACUGGCCACUUUACAGAUGUGGAAACUGAGGCUGAAAGACAGCUGUGAAGCCGCAUGGCUGGGACACAUCCAUACCCUGUGCCCUACCUUACCUCAGCCUCAAGCAGAGGCAGGCCGACUGUCUGCUUCCCAGGACUCUCUCCAAACCAUCUGCCCUUCAGAAUCUGCCGGUCCCUGCCCCUUGGCUGGACUAAAGCAAUUGCAGCAGGGUUGUGGUCAGGGUUCUACAGGUCAUGGGUCAAAGGUGUCAGGCCUCUUCUGGGGCGGAGGCUCAGGCGGUAGAGGGCUUGCCCAGCAUACACAAAGCCCCGGGUUUGAUCCCGGGCAUCAUAUAAACCAGGCACGUGGGCUCACCCUGUAAGUCCAGCACGGGGAGACUGAAUCAGGAGAAUGAGGAGUUCAAGGUCUGCGUAGACUACAUACCGAGUUCAAAGCCAGCCUGAGCCUCACUGUGUCUUUAUUCUAGCAAGUUCUAUUAUUGGUUUCUGUAUGUUUUAGGAAAUGAGAUUCCGGGGAAAUGUUUGUUUUUGUUCAAAUGGGUUAAAUAAUUAGAUAGGAGGAUCAAGAAUUCUAUGUCAAGACAGGUGUGGUGGCCCAUGCAUGUCUUUUUAAUCCCAGUACUUGGGAGACAGAGGCAGGCAGGUCUCUGGGGCUUUGAGGCCAGCCUGUUGUGCCUAGUGAGUUCCACGCUAGCCAGAGCUGUAGAGUCAGGCCCUGCCUCAAAAUAAAGUAAAAUAAAAUAAAAUAGUAACUGUGUGUGUGAAAAAGUGAAAGGUUUGGGCUGAGAAGUUGACUCAGCUGGUGAAGGGAUUUGCCACCAAGCCUGAUGGCCUGAGUGUGAUCCUCAAGACCCACAUGGUAGAAGAGAACUGAUCCCUGAUCCCUGUAAGUUGUUUCUGGCCUUCAUACUCAAACUAGAGCUUGUAUGCAUUCACGCACGUGCUCUUGUAUACACACACACACACACACACACACACACACACACACACACACUGAAUGAAUAAAUAAAUAAGUAAAUAAAGGAUGGAUGGAUGGAUGAAUGGAUGUAAGAAGAAGUUUAGGUUUCUAGGGUUGGAGGUGUAUGUGGCUCAGCUGGUUGAGCUAGCAAGGCUUUAUCCCUUGCACGCUAUAAACUGGGCAUGGUGGCACACACCUGUAAUCCCAGCACUCAGGAGACAGAGCCAGAAGGAUCAGAAAUUCAAAUCCUUGGUUAUAUGGGGUGUUUAAGGCCAGUCUGGGCUAUGUGAGCUGAGCAUAAUAGUAUACACACACACACACACACACACACACACACACACACACACACACACUCAACACUUGGGAAGUGAAGGCAAAAAGAUCAGGAAUUCCAGGCCAGCCUGGUUACAGGAGACUGGGUCUCAAAAAGGCUAACUAAGACACAUUAUACAAAAAUUCUCAAAGAACAGGUCCGGUAUGGCGGUGCACGCCUUUAAUCCCAGCACUCACGAGACAGAGGCAGGCAGAUUUCUGUGGGUCCAAAACCAGCCAGGUCUAGUUCCGGAACAGCCAGGGCUACAGAGAAACCCCAUCUUGGAAAAGCAUACAAAAACAAACAAGUAAAAUUCUCAAAGAACAAAUAAGUAACCAUAAAGGAAAAACAACCUAAAUAAAUAAAUAAAUAAAUAAAGCCAGGUUUCUUGCAGUAGAAAACUUUGGAAAGAACGAACUUCUUCCAGCCUAGUGAACACACGAUGUGUGCGGUCCUUGUCGCCUCGAACAAGGAGACUGAAUACCUUUGCCCCUUCCACUUCUGAGCCCUUAAUUCCCUGGGUUGUCUUGGGAACAGACAGCCCUCCUUAAGUCUUAAUUUCUGCAUCUAUAAGUCGUGACUGUAAUGUCCCCACUAAAUAUAUAUUACACACACACACACACACACACACACACACACACACACACACACACAAACAUUUUGUUUAUGAAUUUGUGUGUACCCCAGUGUGGAAGUUAGAACACAACUUUUGGGGGGCACUUCUGGUCUCUGCUUCUGACUUGCGAGUUCUGGGACUUGAACUCCAGGCGUCAGGCUUACCCGCAGACACCCCUACUCACUGAUCCAUUCCACCACCUGGAUGUGUAUUUCACAUGCUUUCUCCAGUCUUCUGUAGAGUUUGUUGAAUCUUUUCCUAGUCUGUCUGUCUCUCUGUCUCUGUCUCUCUCUGUCUCUCUCUCUCUCUCUCUCUCUCUCACACACACACACACACACACACACACACAAAGACAUUUUUGAGGCCUCUUGUUUCUCAGAGGUUUUAUUUAUAGGCCGCUCCUCAUUGUGAACGUGAAAAGGAGAAAGCGCAGCCUGGGGUAGACCUUUCAUGUGUAAAUCAGGCCGGCCUGGAGCUCGGGGUCACUGGGAGCGGGAUUUCACUCUUAAUUACUCCGAGAGAAAGCGACGGGGCGGGUGGGAGGCCCCUGCUCCGCUCCCCUGGGCAGGGCUGCUCCAGGCCCCUCGCUCCUGGUCCUUGCUCUCCGCAAAGCUGGGCUGGGCAUGGUGCAGCUGCCCCUGAGCGAGCCCCAAGUGGCUUUCUUUAGGGGCAAGAAGUUUGCAAGAGUGGGAGGUAUCAAGGAUGCUGCUGAUGGGCCAGGGAAAGGGGAGGAGUUCUUUUCUGUGAUGUUGCAGACCUACCCCAGGGCCUUCUACAUGCUAAGCCCAUGUAGAACUGUAAGAGCAGCUCCAUCCCCAGCAUGGAUCCUGUUUUGGGGAUGCGUCUUUCAAAUGCUUCAAACCCUUUGCUACGUGAUUGUCUACGAAAGCCUGUUUGCGUUUCGUUUGUUCAUUUGAGAGAGGGUCUCACCAUGUAGCCUUGGCUGACUUGGAACUUACAGAGAUCCUGGCAUCUGCUUCUGCAUCCAGAGUACUGGGAUGACAGACAUGGACCCCCGUACCCAACUACUUGCUCUUUUAUUAAAAAGUAAGUAGCUGGUCUUGGUUCUUAGGUGGUAACUUUGGCAUUUGCCACCACCACCUGGCUUAUGGAUCUGUUUCUAGAUUCUUCUAGUAAUAGGUCUCUUGCCGGGUGGUGAUGCACACCUUUAAUCCCAGCACAUGGGAGGCAAAGGCAGGCAGAUCUCUAUGAGUUCAAGGCCAGUCUGGGCUACAUAACAAGACCAGCCAGUGUGAUACAAUGAGACUCUGCCUAAUAAAAUAAUAAAACAAAAAAAUCUCUCUGUCCCCUCACUAAUAAUGAGUUUUUAUUGCUAAGGGUUUUUUCCACUUAAAAAAACUUUUUUUUUUUAAAUGUUUUUAGAUGAUUUGUGUGCAUGUGUGUUUUGUGCAGGGUGUGUGUGUGUGUGUGUGUGUGUGUGUGUGUGUGUGUGUGUGUGUGUGUGUGCAGUGCUCUCAAAGGUCAGAAGAGAGCGUCAGAUCACCUGGAACUGGAGUUGCAGGUGGUUGUGAGGGGCUGUGAGGGUGCUGGAACCGAACCCGGGUCCUCUGCCAGAGCAGCCAGUGCUCUCAACUGCUGAGCCAGCUCUCCAGCUCCACAUUUUUUAUUGUAGAAGGGUAUCAUGAACUUGUAGUAAUUUUAGCAGCCCACUCCGAGGCUCUAGUUGUGACACCAAGAACUUCAGGUAAUGCCUGGUGCUUGCUGAAGAAGAAAAAAAAAAUCAUCCCUGGUUGAAAACACCACAUUAGAGGGUUUUAAAUAUUAAUCAUAGCUAUUUUAAGUCCCUAGCUAGAGCGUUAUGAAAGUGUGUUGUUCUCGAGCUGUAGACUGUCUCCCCUUUCCAUGUGCCUUGUUGAAAACCACAUGUCUUGUUCAGAACAGCUGUUCACAGAAAGGUCUCUCUCUCCACUGUUCUCACAGGUAAGAGCAGCUCCCUAUGUCUGAACUGCUUGUGCUAAGGAUGUUUUGUUCCUUCCGGGACUCUGAAAUGGUGGUCCGCACCAGCGCAACAGCCACGGCCAGUCACUGGACCUUCCUUGGUUGCUGGUGUGAUGCCUUCUGCUUCUUCAUACGCCGUAUCAUGUGUUUCCCACAAGAACUCUGGGAAGUUGGUGAUCUUAUCCCCACUUGACAGAUGGGGAAAGCGAGGCAGAGGGGGAAACGCCUUUCCCAGAGUCAUGUGGCUGGCAAGUGGUACAGUGGAGAUUAGAAUCAGGUAGGUAAUCCAGCUCUCUUUUCAUGAAUUUACAAGUUCAGACUCCUGUUUUACAGGUUGAAAAACUGAGGCCUGGAACAGGGCUCCAAGCCAGGGCGAAGAAACACAGCCUAAGUAGACUUUGCCUCUCUUACUUAUUUAUGCCCUCCAUCGUCUACUCCCAAGGGGCCGAGUUGCUCUUGUGUCAAGGAUGAACGGGCAGGCGGUAGGAUGAAAAUUCCAGAAACGCCAGGCCAGGGUCCCAGGUAUCCAUUCAUCAUCCAUCCACCCAUCCAUCCUUCUGACAGACCACUCAUGGACUCACAGAGACCCAUCAUCUGUGAUCACAUUAAUCACGAAGACAUGCUGGCUAAUACUUCCUUCCAUGCUGGAGAGACGGCUCACUGGGUAACGGUACCCGCCAUCAAACCUGACGACCUGAGUUUGAUCCUCAGAACCCAUGUGGUGGAAGGAGAGAACCAACUCCUGCCAUGGUAUACUCACCUCCUCUCUCUCUCUCUCUCUCCCUCUCCCUCCCUCUCCCUCUCCCUCUCCCCCUCCUCUCUCUCUCUCUCUCUCUCUCUCUCUCUCUCUCUCUCUCUCUCGCUCUCUCUCUCUCUCUCUCUCUCUCUACCUCCCUCUCUCUCAAUGUUAAAAAAAAGGAAUCUUCCUAGGUGGAAGAGAUGGCUUUGUGGUUAAGUAUACUUACUGCUUUCGCAGAGGACCUGAGUUGGUUCCGAGCACCCAUGGCAGGUGGUUCACAACCACCUGUAACUCCAGUUCCAGGGGAUCUGAAUCUCUCACCUGGCACCGGCCCACACACAUAUACAUAUACACAUAGUUAAAAAUAAACCUUUUUUUUUUUUAAAGUUCUUAGCUGGGUAUUGUGACACACGCCUUUAGACCCAGCACUUGGGAGGCAGAGGCAGGCAGAUCUCGGUGAGUUCGUGGCCAGCCUGGUCUACAAAGCGAGCUCCAGGACAACCAGGGCUACACAGAGAAAUUCUGUCUUGAAGAGCAAAAAAAGAAAGAAACAGAAAAAAAAAAAAACACUUAGAACUGGCUCUCAUCUAGGGAAUAAAUGCUUGUUACUAUUACGCUCACUUGUCAAUCAAAGGCGUGCUCAGUGGGAUCCUGCGGCUCGAAUGAGUUGCCGCGGAACAAACAGUUGUGUUGAGGAUCAGGUCUGAGACCACUGAGCCUCCUGUUCCUUGACUCUGUUUUCAGGGGACACUAGAAUCUGAGGACCUGCUAGACAUGACCUGAGGUGUCGUUUACACCGAGACAGACAUUUUCCCAUUUCCUGGAGGCACUGGUCGCUGACAGCUCACAGGUUAAUCCCUGUCUGUCCUACCGCUGAGGAAAGCCACACUCCCUCCUCUCUGUCACCCCUGUCCACGGACUGAUCCACGCAGGUCUCAUUGCUCAGUCCCCUCACGUCAGCACAGGUCAACCCCGACAGCCCGUGAGAGCUUCAAAGCCGCUGCUGAGACCAUAUGCAUCCCCACUCUUCCCUCUACCACAUCCUGACCCUCCCCUCCCCUCUCCUCCCCUCCCCUCCCCUUCUCUCCCUUCUUUUCUCCCCUCCCCUCCCCUCCUCUCCCCUCCCCCCUUCCUUUCCCCCAUUACGUCACCUCCUUAGGUCAGAUCUACACUUUUGGAGCAUCAGGCUCUCCCUUGACCCAUGGUGACAUGCAGAGUGUGGAAGUGAGUUGUUUUCCCAGGAGAAACCACCUUAGCCUUUGGGCCCGUCUGGCCUUCCACAAGGGUGCCUGAUGUCUCCUACCACAGUGGAGGCUGUGUAAUUAUGGUUAAGAGAAAGAAAUUAUGGUAGAAUUCCUGCCUAGAAUGCAUGAGGCCACAGGUUCAAUUCCCAGAACAGCACUUAAGAAGGGGGGGGGGGGGGAGAAAUAGUGCCAGGCAUGGUAGUGCGUGCCUGUAAUGGUUUUACUUUGUGUGUGUGUGUGUGUGUGUGUGUGUGUGUGUGUGUGUGUGUGUGUGUGAAUCCCAGUGCACCAUGUGCCAUGCUUUGCAUGUGGAGGUUAGAAGACAGCUUUGCUGGACGGCAGUGGCACAGGCCUUUAAUCCCAACACUCCAGAGGCAGAGGCAGAGGCAGGCAGAUCUCCGAGUUCAAGGCCAGCCUGGUCUACAGAGAGAGUUUGAAGAUAGCCAGGGCUACAUGGAGAAACCCUGUCUUGACAAACGAAAACAAAACAAAACAAAACAAAAAAAGAAGACAACUUUGAGAAGCCGUUUUUCUCCUCUGCUGUGGGUUCCAAGGGUCACACCCAGAGGCUGUCGGGCUUUGGUGGGAAGCCCAUUUACCCACCAACCCACCGACGACGACGUGUCCUGCCAGUCCAAAUGCUUAGAAUCCUGACUCGAGUCAGGCGGAGGGAGGAAGAGCAGUUUGAAUUUAGCAGUGGAAGCCUGAGCAGCAAACAAGCUGUGGACUGAAACUAUGACUUCAGAGCUCACCUUGGGUUUUUAGCUGUGUGACGUCCAUUGGUUUACUCUAGGAAAAGCAGUGUAUCCAAAUGCACUGCCGGGGAGAGCGGGCUGGGCAUUAACGAAGAUACUGCCAGCAAACCUGAGCUGUGUGAUUUUACCAGCACACCCUCUCUGAUCCGGUCUCUAAAGUAGGAUUACUAUAUUUUUUUUAUUUAUUUAUUCAUUUUUUUUUUUUUUUGAGACAGGGUUUCUCUGUGUAGCCCUGGCUGUCCUGGAACUCGCUCUGUAGAGACCAGGCUGGUCUCAAACUCAGAUCUGCCUGCCUCUGCCCCCCGAGUGCUGGAAUUACUCUACAACCACCGCCCGGCUUAUAUUUUAAUAUUUUAUUGUAUUUGUGUAUGUGUGUGUGUAUGUGUGUGUGUGUGUGUGUGUGUGUGUGUGUGUGUGUAUGUGUGCACACACCGAGGUGCCUGUGUGGAGGUCGGAAAACAACUUGUAGGAAUGAGUUCUCUCCUUCCACCGUGUGGGUCCUGGGAAGUGAAUUCAGGUCCUUAGCCUCGGCAGCAAUUGCCUUUACCAGCGGAGUUAUUUGCAGGCCUUGCAAAGUAGGAUUUUAAUAGCAAUACCAUUGAAGGUUUUGUUGUGAGUACCUGUUCCAGAGGAGCAAAGAGCCUAGAGAGACAGGAUUUUCUAGCCCAGUGGUUCUCGACCUUCCCUAACGCUGCUGCGACCCUUCAAUACAGUUCCUCAUGCUGUGGUGACCCUCCCCACAACCAUAGAAUUAUUUUUGUUGCUACUUCAUAACUGUAAUUUGCUGCUGUUAUGAAUCGUAAUGAAAAUAUCUGUGUUUUGUGAUGGUCUUAGGCAACCCCUGUGGAAGGGGCCUUGACACAGGUCGAGAACCACUGUUCCAGAGGAAAGUGCUUUUGUCAAAUGCUUGCCUUGAGAAGCAGGUGCUGUCGUGCCCAUUUUACAGACGGGGAGACUGAGGCUCUGCAAGGUGAGUAACUUGCCUCAAAUCACACAGUAAGUGAAUGACAAGAUCAGAUCUGGGAUGCUGGCCUGAUUCUGCUCCCUUGUCUUCCUCACCACCCUCUGGUCACCGGGCUGGACCAACAAGCUUCUGGAUUGUCCCAUCCUCUCCUUUAUGCAGACUCACACUGCCUGCAUCUGCGUCUCCCGAGCCGCCUAGAGAAUACGUCUGGGUGUGCAGGCGGCCAGACUUUACAGGGCGAGGCUAACUUUGCGUCUUGGUUGGAUCAUCCACCUGUGGCUCAACGCAGAGGUUGUGUGGAGGAAGCGCCAUCAGCAGGCUUCAUGUCAAAGGGCACACCCAGGGUCUGCUAAGGGACCACAGACCACGUCGCAAGACGCAAGACUGUAAGGAAUAAUAUGGGGAUGGCAAACCACAGAGUCAUUUAUGACCCCCGGAGGGCUUGUCCUAGGGAGGCCCCUGCACACCAGAAGUUUGACAUCAAGGGAAGAAUGAUCUAAGGACCGGGAGCAUGCAAGAGCCCCGCUUUCCUUGGUACCAUCUCUCCACCCACCAAGAAUGACGGCAAAGGGUGUGCCAUGCAGGGAUGCGCUAGGACCGACUUCCUGUUCUACUAGCCUGUGAUUUGCAUCCUUGAAUAAACUUGCUUAAUGUC